rnacentral:lncRNA from 1 species
CCCAUUAUAUUUAAUUGUUUUAAUACUUUUUUUACCAUAAGAAAAUUAGCAAUAAAAAAGGACAUGGUGAUUUAUUUAAUCCUUGAUUCAUGUUUAGAAGAUAAUAAAGGUGCAUGUUUAGCCAUUAGAAUAUAAUUAGAUUUUAAUUGAUUUUAAUCACUUUGAAAAUACUUUGAAAAAUAAAAUGGUUGAUGCUUUGAGGCUUAAUUGAAUUUUAAUUGAAUUU